GAUGAAGAACGCAGCGAAAUGCGAUACGUAGUGUGAAUUGCAGAAUUCAGUGAAUCAUCGAAUCUUUGAACGCACAUUGCACCUCUCGGUAUUCCGGGAGGUAUGCCUGUUCGAGCGUCAUUUGUACCCUCAAGCUCUGCUUGGUGUUGGGUGUUUGUUCCGCCUCUGUGUGUGAACUUGCCUCAAAACAAUUGGCAGCCGGCGUACUUGUUUCGGAGCGCAGCACAUUUUGCGAUCCAGAUCAACGUACAGCGGCAUCCAAGAAGCCUUAUUUAACGCUCUUGACCUCGGAUCAGGUAGGGAUACCCGCUGAACUUAAGCAUAUCAAUAAGCGGAGGA
rnacentral:misc_RNA from 1 species